GGCGAACGCUGGCGGCGUGCCUAAUACAUGCAAGUCGAACGCGUCUUGGUCAAUGAUUUUAGGUGCUUGCACUUGACUGAUUUGACAUUAAGACGAGUGGCGAACUGGUGAGUAACACGUGGGUAACCUGCCCUUGAAGUAGAGGAUAACACUUGGAAACAGGUGCUAAUACUGCAUAACAACGAAAACCGCCUGGUUUUCGUUUGAAAGAUGGCUUCGGCUAUCGCUUUAGGAUGGACCCGCGGCGUAUUAGCUAGUUGGUGAGGUAACGGCUCACCAAGGCAAUGAUACGUAGCCGACCUGAGAGGGUAAUCGGCCACAUUGGGACUGAGACACGGCCCAAACUCCUACGGGAGGCAGCAGUAGGGAAUCUUCCACAAUGGACGAAAGUCUGAUGGAGCAACGCCGCGUGAGUGAUGAAGGGUUUCGGCUCGUAAAACUCUGUUGUUGGAGAAGAACGGGUGUCAGAGUAACUGUUGACAUCGUGACGGUAUCCAACCAGAAAGCCACGGCUAACUACGUGCCAGCAGCCGCGGUAAUACGUAGGUGGCAAGCGUUGUCCGGAUUUAUUGGGCGUAAAGCGAGCGCAGGCGGUUUUUUAGGUCUGAUGUGAAAGCCUUCGGCUUAACCGGAGAAGUGCAUCGGAAACCGGGAGACUUGAGUGCAGAAGAGGACAGUGGAACUCCAUGUGUAGCGGUGAAAUGCGUAGAUAUAUGGAAGAACACCAGUGGCGAAGGCGGCUGUCUGGUCUGCAACUGACGCUGAGGCUCGAAAGCAUGGGUAGCGAACAGGAUUAGAUACCCUGGUAGUCCAUGCCGUAAACGAUGAGUGCUAAGUGUUGGAGGGUUUCCGCCCUUCAGUGCUGCAGCUAACGCAUUAAGCACUCCGCCUGGGGAGUACGACCGCAAGGUUGAAACUCAAAGGAAUUGACGGGGGCCCGCACAAGCGGUGGAGCAUGUGGUUUAAUUCGAUGCUACGCGAAGAACCUUACCAGGUCUUGACAUCUUCUGCCAACCUAAGAGAUUAGGCGUUCCCUUCGGGGACAGAAUGACAGGUGGUGCAUGGUUGUCGUCAGCUCGGAGUGUCGUAGACGAGCUCGUUAC
rnacentral:rRNA from 1 species